UACGGAGGGUGCAAGCGUUAAUCGGAAUUACUGGGCGUAAAGCGCACGCAGGUGGCUGAGUCAGUCGAUUGUGAAAGCCCUGGGCUUAACCUGGGAAUUGCAGUCGAUACUACUUAGCUAGAGUAUGGGAGAAGGCAGUGGAAUUCCCGGUGUAGCGGUGAAAUGCGUAGAUAUCGGGAGGAACAUCAGUGGCGAAGGCGGCUGCCUGGCCCAAUACUGACACUCAGGUGCGACAGCGUGGGGAGCAAACAGG
rnacentral:rRNA from 1 species